GCCGCGGUGGUGAAAUUGGUAGACACGCUAGCCUUAGGAGCUAGUAGGGUAAAACCUGUGAGAGUUCGAGUCUCUCCCGCGGCA
rnacentral:tRNA from 1 species